GAAUGCUGCCCCCUUUAGCCUUUGAGGUGGGAGGAGGGGCCCUGGCUCCCAUGACAGCUCACAAAAUGGGGAUUGCCCCUUACUAGGAGCGGUGUGCGGAUGCUGAUCAGCCCACCGAAUGCUCACCACUGAGGGGCUGCAGCGGCCAGGUGUGAGGGGAAGAGACUGCAGAGAGGUGACAAGGCCGUCAAAGGAGAGGAGCCACCACUGGGGAGCCUGGUGGCUCAGGAAGGCAGCUGGUGUGGGUGUGGGAGAGUCGGAUCAGAAGGCCAGCACUGCUCAUCAUGGAGCACCUGGGAGAGCAGCAGCGACUCAGCUCCUGGCACCAGGUCCCUGUGAUUAGCUUGGUGUGUGUCCAGCCCUCCCUCUGCAUUUCACACGGAUAUGCGAACAGUGGAUCAGGCUUGGGUUUGUUUCUUCCAAUAAACGGCAUCAUGCGGCUAAUUUCCCCACCCAGCUGGGAACAAUCACCCACAGGGUCCAUCUUCCACCAGAGGAACUCACUCGCUGCCAAAUUUAAAAACCCUGGGAGACAGCCAAUUGGGUUAGGUGCUUCUUCCUGGACCAGUGAACUGUGAUCAGGUGAGUGGGCCCCACAUGGGCCAGCUCUGGGUCAGUACCACUCAGGGUCUAAGGCAGGGAAGGGUGGUGGAGAAGGGGUAAAGCCUCACCAGUUUUAUUGUUUUUUAAAAACAGUUGGCCAGGCACAGUGGCUCACACCUGUAAUCCCAGCACUUUGGGAGGCCGAGGUGGGUGGAUCAUGAGGUCAGGAGUUCAAGAUCAGCCUGGCCAACAUAGGGAAACCCUGUCUCU
rnacentral:lncRNA from 1 species